UUUUUUUUUUCCUUUUCUUUAUUAAUAUACAGAAUAAAAAUUUACAAUGCCAUAGUCAAGUAUAUCAGCUGAAAGAGAUAAUAUGUGAUAAGGUUGAGGGAAUUCCAAAUCCAAUCCCUGUGCAUGAAACCCAUUUUUCAGCCAAAUAUAAUAUCUCCAUGCUCCAGACCCACACCACCUACUUGAAAAUGAAGAAACCAGCUGUGCAUGUUGGCAAUGUCCAAGGUGAAGACAAAUCUCCAACACAUUAUUGCUAAACCAUUUCCAUUUAUACAUUGCACAUCCUGACACUAAACCACUGCAUGCAGCUUCCUAGCUGUAUAAAUUAAUCAAACUGCUGCUGCUUUAUUAUUCAGCAGAUAUUAAACCAACAAAAUAUUACUACCAAUAAUAAUUUUAGCCUAAUUGUUCU
rnacentral:misc_RNA from 1 species